rnacentral:rRNA from 1 species
AUUGAACGCUAGCGGGAUGCCUUACACAUGCAAGUCGAACGGCAGCACGGACUUCGGUCUGGUGGCGAGUGGCGAACGGGUGAGUAAUGUAUCGGAACGUGCCCAGUAGCGGGGGAUAACUACUCGAAAGAGUAGCUAAUACCGCAUACGCCCUACGGGGGAAAGGGGGGGAUCGCAAGACCUCUCACUAUUGGAGCGGCCGAUAUCGGAUUAGCUAGUUGGCGGGGUAAAGGCCUACCAAGGCGACGAUCCGUAGCUGGUUUGAGAGGACGACCAGCCACACUGGGACUGAGACACGGCCCAGACUCCUACGGGAGGCAGCAGUGGGGAAUUUUGGACAAUGGGGGCAACCCUGAUCCAGCCAUCCCGCGUGUGCGAUGAAGGCCUUCGGGUUGUAAAGCACUUUUGGCAGGAAAGAAAUCGCAUGGGUUAAUACCCUGUGUGGAUGACGGUACCUGCAGAAUAAGCACCGGCUAACUACGUGCCAGCCGCCGCUGUAA